UACAGAGGUCUCAAGCGUUGUUCGGAUUCAUUGGGCGUAAAGGGUGCGUAGGCGGCGCGGUAAGUCGGGUGUGAAAUCUCGGAGCUUAACUUCGAAACUGCAUUCGAUACUGCCGUGCUUGAGGACUGGAGAGGAGACUGGAAUUUACGGUGUAGCAGUGAAAUGCGUAGAUAUCGUAAGGAAGACCAGUGGCGAAGGCGAAUCUCUGGACAGUUACUGACACUGAGGCACGAAGGCCAGGGGAGCAAACGGG
rnacentral:rRNA from 1 species